rnacentral:rRNA from 1 species
AUUGAACGCUGGCGGCAGGCCUAACACAUGCAAGUCGAACGGUAACAGGAAACAGCUUGCUGUUUCGCUGACGAGUGGCGGACGGGUGAGUAAUGUCUGGGAAACUGCCUGAUGGAGGGGGAUAACUACUGGAAACGGUAGCUAAUACCGCAUAACGUCGCAAGACCAAAGAGGGGGACCCUCGGGCCUCUUACCAUCGGAUGUGCCCAGAUGGGAUUAGCUUGUUGGUGGGGUAACGGCUCACCAAGGCGACGAUCCCUAGCUGGUCUGAGAGGAUGACCAGCCACACUGGAACUGAGACACGGUCCAGACUCCUACGGGAGGCAGCAGUGGGGAAUAUUGCACAAUGGGCGCAAGCCUGAUGCAGCCAUGCCGCGUGUAUGAAGAAGGCCUUCGGGUUGUAAAGUACUUUCAGCGGGGAGGAAGGGAGUAAAGUUAAUACCUUUGCUCAUUGACGUUACCCGCAGAAGAAGCACCGGCUAACUCCGUG